UACGUAGGGUGCAAGCGUUGUCCGGAAUUAUUGGGCGUAAAGAGCUCGUAGGCGGUUCGUCGCGUCGGCUGUGAAAACCCGGAGCUCAACUCCGGGCCUGCAGUCGAUACGGGCGGACUAGAGUUCGGUAGGGGAGACUGGAAUUCCUGGUGUAGCGGUGAAAUGCGCAGAUAUCAGGAGGAACACCGGUGGCGAAGGCGGGUCUCUGGGCCGAUACUGACGCUGAGGAGCGAAAGCGUGGGGAGCGAACAGG
rnacentral:rRNA from 1 species